AAGUCGUAACAAGGUCUCCGUAGGUGAACCUGCGGAGGGAUCAUUACUGAGUUCGGGGCAAUCCCAGUCCCGACCUCCAACCCUUUGUGAACAAAUCUUGUUGCUUCGGGGGGCGACCCUGCCGUUCGCGGCAUUCCCCCGGAGGUCAUCAAAACACUGCAUUAUUACGUCGGGGUAAAAAGUUAAUUUAAUAAAA
rnacentral:misc_RNA from 1 species